UGAAGCGGCAACAGCUCGAAUUUGAAAUCUGGCUUCGGCCCGAGUUGUAAUCUGUAGAGGAUGCUUUUGGCGCGGUGCCUUCCGAGUGCCCUGGAACGGGACGCCACAGAGGGUGAGAGCCCCGUAUGGUCGGACACCAAGCCUGUGUAAAGCUCCUUCGACGAGUCGGGUAGCUUGGGAAUGCUGCUCUAAGUGGGAGGUAAACUUCUUCUAAAGCUAAAUACUGGCCAGAGACCGAUAGCGCACAAGUAGAGUGAUCGAAAGAUGAAAAGCACUUUGAAAAGAGGGUCAAAUAGUACGUGAAAUUGUUGAAAGGGAAGCGCUCAUGACCAGACUUGCGCCGGGCUGAUCAUCCAGUGGUUUCCACUGGUGCACUCUGCCCGGCCCAGGCCAGCGUCGGCUGUCACGGGGGGACAAAAGCACUGGGAAAGUAGCUCUCUCCGGGGAGUGUUAUAGCCCUAUGCAGAAUACC
rnacentral:rRNA from 1 species